GCGAGUAAGACCCUGCCCUAGUGGCUCGGUCAGUCCCAUCAUAUACACCUUUAUUCGUGAACUCGUGGCUCAGCUGGACGAUGAAAGCUUUGGCGACUAGCCGUCCGUCGGUUCCGCUCUUUAUACCCUUUAUGUGAAGUCAAUGGAAAUUAUGAUAAUCUAAUA
rnacentral:misc_RNA from 1 species